UCCGCGAUAGCUUAAUGGUGGAGCACUCGGCUGUUAACCGAUAGGUUGGAGGUUCGAGUCCUCUUCGCGGAGCCA
rnacentral:tRNA from 1 species